GGACGAACGCUGGCGGCGUGCUUAACACAUGCAAGUCGAGCGGUAAGGCCCUUUCGGGGGUACACGAGCGGCGAACGGGUGAGUAACACGUGGGUGACCUGCCCUUAGCUCUGGGAUAAGCCUGGGAAACUGGGUCUAAUACCGGAUAUGACUCCAUGACGCAUGUUGUGGGGUGGAAAGCCUUGUGCGGCUAGGGAUGGGCCUGCGGCCUAUCAGCUUGUUGGUGGGGUGAUGGCCUACCAAGGCGACGACGGGUAGCCGGCCUGAGAGGGCGACCGGCCACACUGGGACUGAGACACGGCCCAGACUCCUACGGGAGGCAGCAGUGGGGAAUCUUGCGGCAAUGGGCGAAAGCCUGACGCAGCGGCGCCGCGUGGGGAUGACGGCCUGGUGUAACGUACUUCUA
rnacentral:rRNA from 1 species